UUUGAACUUUAAUGCUUGUAACUGUUUUGACAGGAGACACAUGGAAUACCGGCCCUCAAAGUUCAUGAAUCAUCAGACAAAGUUCAGCUGGAAUCUCAAGGUGGUUCCAGCAGCUCCAGUGUCUCUGACAGCAGUUCAGACACUGACAGUGAAAAGAGCAGCAGCCCAGAUGAACCAGCAGCUCCUGAGACAUUACACACACAGCCACAGAAAGAGAGUGACUGGCAGCUAGGACGGUGGUUAGAAAGGAAAGGAAACCAGCACCAGCAGAACCCUAGGAGCCCAUGUGAUGCCAUCAGGCCCAACUCCCAUGAUUCCUCUGACAGGACUGAGGCUCCAGGGUCACAGACUUGCCACAGUGACCCAGCUGACGGCGGCAAAGCGUCCGAUCUCAGACAGACUGUGGGGAGCACGAGCAUGUGUGAGGAUCUGCUGUUAGAAAGCACAUCCACACACAGACCCAAACACAAGAGAAGGAAAACGGCACAUCACACAGAGCAGAAGAGAACGACAGCAGACACCAACAACAUCAGCAAACAAACACAUUCGCCACUGCUGGUGAAGAUCAAGCUGAAGCUGCUCUCCAGGAUCCCACGGGAGCCCAAAGCAGCUCCGCCUCACACAGAGAACAGCAGAGCAUCGAGACGCAAGAGAGCGGUGAGCACAGCUAACACCUGACCCCUGACCCCUGACUCACUACUGCUGCAGAGUAACGAAGAGCUGCCAUCGAACAUUCCAGAAUCACGUUCACUCAUUUUAUUGUAUGUGA
rnacentral:lncRNA from 1 species